rnacentral:rRNA from 1 species
AUGAACGCUAGCUACAGGCUUAACACAUGCAAGUCGAGGGGCAGCAUGGUCUUAGCUUGCUAAGGCCGAUGGCGACCGGCGCACGGGUGAGUAACGCGUAUCCAACCUGCCUUACACUCUUGGACAGCCUUCUGAAAGGGAGAUUAAUACAAGAUGUUAUCAUGAGUAAGCAUUUUCGCAUGAUUAAAGGUUUACCGGUGUAAGAUGGGGAUGCGUUCCAUUAGAUAGUAGGCGGGGUAACGGCCCACCUAGUCUUCGAUGGAUAGGGGUUCUGAGAGGAAGGUCCCCCACAUUGGAACUGAGACACGGUCCAAACUCCUACGGGAGGCAGCAGUGAGGAAUAUUGGUCAAUGGACGAGAGUCUGAACCAGCCAAGUAGCGUGAAGGAUGAAGGUUCUAUGGAUUGUAAACUUCUUUUAUACGGGAAUAAACGAAUCCACGUGUGGAUUUUUGCAUGUACCGUAUGAAUAAGGAUCGGCUAACUCCGUGCCAGCAGCCGCGGUAAUACGGAGGAUCCGAGCGUUAUCCGGAUUUAUUGGGUUUAAAGGGAGCGUAGAUGGGUUGUUAAGUCAGUUGUGAAAGUUUGCGGCUCAACCGUAAAAUUGCAAUUGAUACUGGCAGUCUUGAGUACAGUUGAGGUAGGCGGAAUUCGUGGUGUAGCGGUGAAAUGCUUAGAUAUCACGAAGAACUCCGAUUGCGAAGGCAGCUUACUAACCUGUAACUGACAUUGAUGCUCGAAAGUGUGGGUAUCAAACAGGAUUAGAUACCCUGGUAGUCCACACGGUAAACGAUGAAUACUCGCUGUAGGCGAUAUACAGUCUGCGGCCAAGCGAAAGCAUUAAGUAUUCCACCUGGGGAGUACGCCGGCAACGGUGAAACUCAAAGGAAUUGACGGGGGCCCGCACAAGCGGAGGAACAUGUGGUUUAAUUCGAUGAUACGCGAGGAACCUUACCCGGGCUUAAAUUGCAACCGAAUAUGGCGGAAACGCUAUAGCUAGCAAUAGCGGUUGUGAAGGUGCUGCAUGGUUGUCGUAAGCUCGUGCCGUGGGGUGUCGGCUUAAGUGCCAUAACGAGCGCAACCCUUGCCGAUAGUUACUAACAGGUUAUGCUGAGGACUCUGUCGGGACUGCCAUCGUAAGAUGUGAGGAAGGUGGGGAUGACGUCAAAUCAGCACGGCCCUUACGUCCGGGGCUACACACGUGUUACAAUGGGGGGUACAGAGGGCUGCUACCACGCAAGUGGAUGCCAAUCCCAAAAACCUCUCUCAGUUCGGAUUGAAGUCUGCAACCCGACUUCAUGAAGCUGGAUUCGCUAGUAAUCGCGCAUCAGCCACGGCGCGGUGAAUACGUUCCCGGGCCUUGUACACACCGCCCGUCAAGCCAUGGGAGCCGGGGGUACCUGAAGUGCGUAACCGCAAGGAGCGCCCUAGGGUAAAACUGGUGACUGGGGCU